rnacentral:rRNA from 1 species
AACGAACGCUGGCGGCAGGCUUAACACAUGCAAGUCGAGCGCCUCGCAAGAGGAGCGGCAGACGGGUGAGUAACGCGUGGGAAUCUACCCAUCUCUACGGAAUAACGCAUGGAAACGUGUGCUAAUACCGUAUACGCCCCUUGGGGGGAAAGAUUUAUCGGAGAUGGAUGAGCCCGCGUUGGAUUAGCUAGUUGGUGGGG